rnacentral:rRNA from 1 species
GAUGAACGCUGGCGGCGUGCCUAAUACAUGCAAGUCGAGCGAACGGACGAGAAGCUUGCUUCUCUGAUGUUAGCGGCGGACGGGUGAGUAACACGUGGAUAACCUACCUAUAAGACUGGGAUAACUUCGGGAAACCGGCGCUAAUACCGGAUAAUAUCUUGAACCGCAUGGUUCAAAAGUGAAAGACGGUCUUGAUGUCACUAAUAGAUGGAUCCGCGCUGCAUUAGCUAGUUGGUAAGGUAACGGCUUACCAAGGCAACGAUGCAGAGCCGACCUGAGAGGGUGAUCGGCCACACUGCAACUGAGACGCGGUCCAGACUCCUACGGGAGGCAGCAGUAGGGAAUCUUCCGCAAUGGGCGAAAGCCUGUCGUAUCCACUCCGCGUGAGUCAUGAAGGUCUUCGGAGCGUAAAACUCUGUUAUUAGGGAAGAACAUAUGUGUAAGUAACUGUGCACAUCUUGACGGUACCUAAUCAGAAAGCCACGGCUAACUACGUG